GACGAAGAACGUAGCGAAAUGCGAUACUUGGUGUGAAUUGCAGAAUCCCGUGAACCAUCGAGUCUUUGAACGCAAGUUGCGCCCGAAGCCAUUAGGCCGAGGGCACGCCUGCCUGGGUGUCACACACCGUUACCCUCGCGCCAACGUCCAUCGUUGGCCGCGGCGCGGGGCGUGCGCUGACCUCCCGCGAGCGGGGUCUCGUGGUUGGUUGAAAAUCGAGUUCGCGGUCGAGGGUGCCGUGAUGAAAUGGUGGAGGGGCGACGCCCGAGACCAAUCACGCGCGACUCUGUCCGGCUCGGACUCCUGGACCCCUUCGGCGUCUCCGGACGCUCUUUGGCGAGACCUCAGGUCAGGCAGGGCUACCCGCUGAGUUUAAGCAUAUCAAUAAGCGGAGGA
rnacentral:misc_RNA from 1 species